UACGUAGGUGGCAAGCGUUGUCCGGAAUUAUUGGGCGUAAAGAGCUCGUAGGCGGUCUGUCGCGUCGGUCGUGAAAACUUGGGGCUUAACCCUGAGCUUGCGGUCGAUACGGGCAUGACUGGAGUUCGGUAGGGGAGACUGGAAUUCCUGGUGUAGCGGUGAAAUGCGCAGAUAUCAGGAGGAACACCGGUGGCGAAGGCGGGUCUCUGGGCCGUAACUGACGCUGAGGAGCGAAAGCGUGGGGAGCGAACAGG
rnacentral:rRNA from 1 species